UCAUAGUAUAUAAUAAAGUCGAUAAAUAAAAUCAAUAGAUUAAAAAUCAAAGAUCUUGGCGGUAUUUUAUAUAAUCAGGGGAGCCUGUCUCUUAAUAUGAUAAUCCACAAAAAUCUUACCAUGCUUUGAAAUACUCUCAACUUGUAUACUGCCGUAUAGCUCAACUUAAAUAAUUGAACAACAAAUAUUAUUAAUUACCAUAAAAAUUCAGGUCAAAGUGCAGUUAAUAGCAUUGGAGAAUAUGGGCUACACUUAAUUAAAUAACCCACUAAAUGAUAAAACUAAAAUAGAACUUGAUAGUAAUAAACUUUAAUUAUAAAUUUAUCAACUCACAAUAAAAUAUGUACAUAUCGCCCGUCACUCUUAUUGAAAAAUA
rnacentral:rRNA from 1 species